rfam:Eubacterium cylindroides T2-87 draft genome.
UCCGGUGGCGAUGGAGAAGUGGAAACACCUGAUACAUACCGAACUCAGAAGUUAAGCACUUCAUCGGCGAAAAUAGUUGGGCCUGCCCCUGCGAAGAUAGCUUGCCGCCGGGU